rnacentral:rRNA from 1 species
GGAAUCUUCCACAAUGGGCGCAAGCCUGAUGGAGCAACGCCGCGUGAGUGAAGAAGGUCUUCGGAUCGUAAACUCUGUUGUUAGAGAGGAACAUGCGAGAGAGUAACUGUUCUUGUAUUGACGGUAUCUAACCAGAAAGCCACGGCUAACUACGUGCCAG